rnacentral:rRNA from 1 species
GAUGAACGCUGGCGGCGUGCCUAAUACAUGCAAGUCGAGCGAAGAGAGGACGGGUGAGUACCAAGAAGAUACCCUCCUAUAAGACUGGGGUAACUUAGGGAACCCUGAGAUAAACCGGUACAUUGUAGAGGGAUCCUCGCUGAAUUAGCUAGUUGGUAAGGGAACGGCUUACCAAGGCAACGAUGCAUAGCCGACCUGUGAGGGUGAUCGGCCACACUGGAACUGAGACACGGUCCAGACUCCUACGGGAGGCAGCAGUAGGGAAUCUUCCGCAAUGGGCGAAAGCCUGACGGAGCAACGCCGCGUGAGUGAUGAAGGUCUUCGGAUCGUAAAACUCUGUUAUUAGGGAAGCGGUACCUAAUCAGAAAGCCACGGCUAACUACGUGCCAGCAGCCGCGGUAAUAC